rnacentral:snRNA from 1 species
GUGCUCGCUUCAGCAGCACAUACACUAAAGCUGGAACGAUACAGAGAAGAUUAGCAUGGCCCCUG